CUCCAGUGAACCCUCUCUGUGCUGAGUAGGCCAGUUCUCUGCUGUUAACACUCGGUGAUACACAGUUUGAGACUUUGGUUCUCAGUGUUGGUACCUGUCGAUCUAGUCUUGUCUCAGGAAGCCGAGCUUCCCGCUCGCCCGCACUCCGCGCUGUACUGAGCCGGCUCUGUGAACAGAGCCCUAUCGUAAGAAGCUGAGGUUAGGCCAGAGGCUCACUAAGUCCCCCAGGACUGACUUCCCAGCCUCCGGCAGCUCCUCUCCAGGGGGCGGGGCCUGCUUUUAGUUUUCUUGGUGGAAUCUAGUCUUGUCAUCUGAUUCUUAGUGUUCAUUUGUGAACACUACCUUAUUCAUUUGUGAUUUUUCAACAGAGCAACUCCCCUCUCAAAUCUUGAGACAUGGAGGGAACCCCCUCAUCGUACCCCCCACCUCUAUACUGGGAAGAAAAUUUGUGCGUUUAACUUUUCUGUGCUGGGAUCUGUAGAAAAUACAGGAUCAGGGAUGCCUGGAUCUGACAGGCUCCCUGUGUGAUCCCAGAAAGAAAGAAUAAUUUAACAAAUUACAUUUUUUCAUUUAUUUUAUUGUGAAAAGAAUGCAUUUUUUUACUCCAAUAACACAGAUGUACGUAAAGGAAGUGGUGAGAGCCUCCUCUUACAAAAUGUAGCCAUUUUUAUUGAAUUGUUUUCUAUCCUUAAACAUCUCUUAUGUGUAGGCAAACCGCAAAUAUACAAAGUGUAUAAAGAAUAUAUAUUCCUAUACAGAUCCUUUAUUUUUUUCCCCCACAAAUAUUAUCCCAUACACAUUUUGUAGCACCUUGUGUUUUUGCUUAACGUAACAUGGAUGUCUUUCCAUAACAGGUUACCUGUUAAACAUUGCUCCUACUUCCUGAUGCAUUUCAUUCCUGAUACAUUCCGGAUCAUAUACAUUUCAUGAAACAAUGCAAAUCUCAACGUUCUCCCACAUAGGGGAGUGGCUCCAAACUCCAAGCCGGAGGAAAAUGGCUGUGAGGCUCUACAUGAUUCAAAUGGCUGUAGACGUGAACCAGGAAGGGCUGCCGCCACCACCGCCGCCGCCGCCGCCGCCGCCCACAGAAGCUGACCCAGGUGCUUGUUUGUUAAACCAGCUGGAGCAAACCGGAAUCGAAGGAUACUUGGCAGAGAGAGCGUCUGGGCUGUCGGCAUCCCCAUGGAGCUCCGGCGCCCCUCGCUCCCAGCUCAGCGCGUGGCCGCUAAGCCCCCUGCGGAGCCCGGGCGCCCAGAGCCUCCCACCUGCGGAGAAAGGUCCCAGUGCCAGCAGCUCCCAAACGUUGCUGGAAACUGGAGAGAAGACAGAGGGCUCAAACUGAUCCCCAAGCAAGCGAGCGUUGUGCAGUGCGUGCGAGGAGCGCGGUCUCAGCCAGAUCCAAGGUCAGGGUAAGCGACCCUGACGUUAACCUGAGCAGUUUAAACGCAGGGACAUAUAUCCCUUUUCUGUUUCCCAUUUUCUCCCCUCCCGGAGGGGGAAAACGGCAGGUCAAUCUCUCCACGUCUACACCCCACGGUCGUGUGGGCGGAGAACACCUCCCACGGUGGCAAGCCUGGAAUUCUUUCAUAAUGAAACCUGCGCUGCCCCUACUGUUCAUAGGGGCAUCUAAAACCACUGCCGAAACCCGGGAUCGAACCAGGGACCUUUAGAUCUUCAGUCUAACGCUCUCCCAACUGAGCUAUUUCGGCAGCUUAUAAGAGUUACUUUCUGCAUUUCUGUAAUGAAAUAGUAUGUGUUCUGUCCUAACAGAAGAGGCCAGAACAGGUUCAGCUGGAAGUAAGCAUCUAGCAAAUGUUAUAGAGUUGACAAAGCACAGUCUCUAUGUAUAAGCUAGAAAUGACAAGUAAUUUUACUUUUCUCAGUUGUUUGGACUCAAGAAAUAUAUGGAACUGAACAGGACGGCCACGUGUAAAAUGUGGCUUUUCAGUGUCACCUCCACAUGAGGUAUGCGUAGAGUCGUGGCAUCUGUAUAUUAAAGGCUUUGACUUGCCAAACUUAAAUCGUGAAAAUAUGCCUCCAUUUUUGUAACC
ensembl:lncRNA